UACGUAGGGUGCAAGCGUUAAUCGGAAUUACUGGGCGUAAAGCGUGCGCAGGCGGUUCGCUAAGACAGAUGUGAAAUCCCCGGGCUUAACCUGGGAACUGCAUUUGUGACUGGCGGGCUAGAGUAUGGCAGAGGGGGGUAGAAUUCCACGUGUAGCAGUGAAAUGCGUAGGGAUGUGGAGGAAUACCGAUGGCGAAGGCAGCCCCCUGGGCCAAUACUGACGCUCAUGCACGAAAGCGUGGGGAGCAAACAGG
rnacentral:rRNA from 1 species